rnacentral:rRNA from 1 species
UAGGGAAUAUUGGACAAUGGGCGGAAGCCUGAUCCAGCCAUCCCGCGUGCAGGAAUAAGGCCCUAUGGGUUGUAAACUGCUUUUAUUAGGGGAGAAAAACUUUGAUUUAUCAGAGCUUGACGGUACCUAAUGAAUAAGCACCGGCUAACUCCGUGCCAGCAGCCGCGGUAAUACGGAGGGUGCAAGCGUUAUCCGGAUUUACUGGGUUUAAAGGGUGCGCAGGCGGUAGAGUAAGUCAGUGGUGAAAGCUUCCAGCUCAACUGGGAAAUUGCCAUUGAUACUGCUUUACUUGAAUUUGGGAGAGGUAGGCGGAAUACAUCAUGUAGCGGUGAAAUGCUUAGAUAUGAUGUAGAACACCGAUUGCGAAGGCAGCUUACUAGACCAACAUUGACGCUCAUGCACGAAAGCGUGGGGAGCAAACAGG